rnacentral:lncRNA from 1 species
UUCUGAUCGAUAUAUAACAAAAUCUUUGCAUCACCAUCGCACUACCACACCACCUAUUGAGAAUGCCUUUCAUCCUCGUUCAAUAGCCCCUUCAACAGCCCGUAUGGAUGUUAGGUUCAAGAUGAUUUAUUGUAAUGAGUUUGCUUUACUCGCAGGCCAUGACUCAACAGACGCUCUCAUUUCUUUCCGGUGAACGCCAUGGUUUGGAAAGGAAAAAGGCGAUGAUAGAAAAAAGCCACCUGAAUAUGUGAAGAUUAAAACCUACUUCAAAAGUUCGGUUGAGACAUGAUGAAGAUAACGGUUUCUUUUGUUCGCGACAACUCGGGCACCAAGAGAAUUCGCGAAGAAUGAUCUAUAUUUGUGGCAACCUUUAUUUUCCGGUGAUAUUUUGUAUCGACAUUAAUAUGAUAUUGUUAACUUUAAAUGUUGUUAUUAUUUAAUGAAAUAUUGUACCGUGUUUUGCUAUUUUAUUUAUUUUGUAUUCACUUGGGAAUAGUCGAGUGGUGUUGGUGAGUUAGAUAAAAUGAGGUUAAAUGAUCGAUCCCCAUGGUAUGCA